GGCCUAAUGGCCCAAUGGCAAGGCGCUUGACUACGAUGACCGCGAGUCGAUCGAUAUCAAGAGAUUCCAGGUUCGACCCCUGGUUAGGUCA
rnacentral:tRNA from 1 species